UACGUAUGGUGCAAGCGUUAUCCGGAUUUACUGGGUGUAAAGGGAGCGUAGGCGGCGCGUUAAGUCUGAUGUGAAGACCCGAGGCUCAACCACGGGAGUGCAUUGGAAACUGGCGGGCUGGAGUGCCGGAGAGGUAAGCGGAAUUCCUAGUGUAGCGGUGAAAUGCGUAGAUAUUAGGAGGAACACCAGUGGCGAAGGCGGCUUACUGGACGGCAACUGACGCUGAGGCUCGAAAGUGUGGGGAGCAAACAGG
rnacentral:rRNA from 1 species